AGUGGGGAAUAUUGGACAAUGGGGGGAACCCUGAUCCAGCCAUGCCGCGUGUGUGAAGAAGGCCUUUUGGUUGUAAAGCACUUUAAGCGAGGAGGAGGCUACCUAGAUUAAUACUUUAGGAUAGUGGACGUUACUCGCAGAAUAAGCACCGGCUAACUCUGUGCCAGCAGCCGCGGUAAUACAGAGGGUGCGAGCGUUAAUCGGAUUUACUGGGCGUAAAGCGUGCGUAGGCGGCCAAUUAAGUCAAAUGUGAAAUCCCCGAGCUUAACUUGGGAAUUGCAUUCGAUACUGGUUGGCUAGAGUAUGGGAGAGGAUGGUAGAAUUCCAGGUGUAGCGGUGAAAUGCGUAGAGAUCUGGAGGAAUACCGAUGGCGAAGGCAGCCAUCUGGCCUAAUACUGACGCUGAGGUACGAAAGCAUGGGGAGCAAA
rnacentral:rRNA from 1 species